GUAAAUAAUUAAGGGCGUAUGGUGGAUGCCUAGGCUCUCAGAGGCGAUGAAGGACGUGAUAAGCUGCGAAAAGCUCCGUUUAGGUGCAAAUAACCUUUGAUGCGGAGAUCUCCGAAUGGGAUAACCCAAUAUGUUGAAGACAUAUUAUACCGUAAGGUAGGCAAACGCAGGGAACUGAAACAUCUAAGUACCUGCAGGAGAAGAAAACAAACGUGAUUCCCCCAGUAGCGGCGAGCGACCGGGGAUAAGCCCAAACCGUUAUUGUUUCGGCAGUAGCGGGGUAGUAGGACUGCGACAUUGAUGAAAUAAAUGAAAUGGAACACUUUGGAAAAUGUGAUCACAGAGGGUGAUAAUCCCGUACAUGCAAGUUUAUGAAUCAUAGCAGACUCCUGAGUAAGUCGGGACACGUGUAAUCCUGACCGAAUCCGCCGGGACCAUCCGGCAAGGCUAAAUACUCCUGAGAGACCGAUAGUGAACCAGUACCGUGAGGGAAAGGUGAAAAGCACUUCGAACAGAAGAGUGAAAUAGUCCCUGAACCCAUACGCCUACAAGCAGUCGGAGCCGCUUCGUGCGGUGACGGCGUGCCUUUUGCAUAAUGAGCCUACGAGUUACUCAUCACCAGCGAGGUUAAGUACUUCAGGUACGUAAGCCGAAGCGAAAGCGAGUCUGAAUAGGGCGUCAAGUUGGUGGUGGUAGACGCGAAACCUUAGUGAUCUACCCAUGGGCAGGGUGAAGGUUUGGUAACACAAACUGGAGGCCCGAACCGGUAAACGUUGAAAAGUUUUCGGAUGACCUGUGGGUAGGGGUGAAAGGCCAAUCAAACUGGGAAAUAGCUCGUACUCUCCGAAAUGCAUUUAGGUGCAGCCUCUGUUGUUUUGUUCUAGAGGUAGAGCUACUGAUUGGAUGCGAGGGCUUCACCGCCUAUCAAAUCCGGCCAAACUCCGAAUGCUAGAACAUGAAGACAGGGAGUGAGCCAGCGGGUGCUAAGGUCCGUUGACGAAAGAGGGAGAACUCAGACCAUCAGCUAAGGUCCCCAAUUGUAUGCUAAGUUGGAAUUAAAACGGGGUGGGACUGCUUAGACAGCUAGGAUGUUGGCUUGGAAGCAGCCAUUCAUUUAAAGAGUGCGUAACAGCUCACUAGUCGAGCGGUCCUGCAUGGAUAAUACGCGGGCAUAAGCAUAUAACCGAAGCUAUGGGAUUGUAGAUGAUACAAUCGGUAGGAGAGCAUUCCAUUCAGCAUAGAAGCAGUAUCGUGAGGUAUUGUGGAGCGGAUGGAAAAGCAAAUGUAGGCAUAAGUAACGAUAAUGCGGGUGAGAACCCCGCACGCCGAAAGAUCAAGGAUUCCCCGGCAAUGUCAAUCAUCCGGGGGUAAGUCGGAUCCUAAGGGUAAGCCGAGUGGCGAUCCCGAUGGCAAACAGGUUAAUAUUCCUGUACUGAUCAUAACUGCGAUGCAGCGACGCAGAGGUGACACUGCUGCGUACUGACGGAAUAGUACGUUGAAACCCGUAUUCUUUGAUACCGGUAGUGAAGCACGCCGGUAGAGAUGAAAGGUGAUAGUACCGCAAUGCUUCGGUUGCGCGGAUAACGCAGGUAAGCUGACUGCCAAGAAAACCUGCUAAGCUUCAGGUAAUGAUCAUCCGUACUGUAAACGGACACACGUGAUCAGGUAGAAAAUACUAAGGCGCUCGAGAGAUUCAUGGUUAAGGAACUAGGCAAAAUGGUCCUGUAACUUCGGGAUAAAGGACGCUCUUGUGAAAGAGCCGCAGAUAAUAGGCCCAGGCGACUGUUUACCAAAAACACAUGGCUAUGCUAAUUCGCAAGAAGAUGUAUAUGGCCUGACACCUGCCCGGUGCCGGAAGGUUAAGAGGAGAGCUCAGAGGCAACUCGAAGGUUUGAAUUGAAGCCCCGGUAAACGGCGGCCGUAACUAUAACGGUCCUAAGGUAGCGAAAUUCCUUGUCGGGUAAGUUC
rnacentral:rRNA from 1 species